rnacentral:rRNA from 1 species
GACGAACGCUGGCGGCGUGGAUUAGGCAUGCAAGUCGAACGGUAGGAUACCUUCGGGUAUCUGAGAGUGGCGAACGGGUGAGUAACACGUAGGUGAUCUACCCUCAAGAUUGGGACAACCCAGGGAAACUUGGGCUAAUACCGGAUGAAAGCAGCAGUGAUGUUGUUUGAAAGGUGGCGUAAGCUGCCGUUUGGGGGAUGAGCCUGCGCUCUAUUAGUUAGUUGGCGGGGUAAAGGCCCACCAAGGCGAUGAUAGAUAGGCGGCCUUAACGGGUGGUCGCCCACACUGGGAUUGAGAUACGGCCCAGACUCUUACGGGAGGCAGCAGUCGAGAAUAGUCUACAAUGGCCGAAAGGCUGAUAGUGCGACGCCGCGUGAACGAAGAAGCCCUUCGGGGUGUAAAGUUCUUUUAUAUGUGAGCAGUGCUUUCUAUGUGAACAGCAUGGGGAGAGAGAUAUUAGCAUAUGAAUAAGCAACGGCUAACUCCGUG